CCCUUAGAUGUUCUGGGCCGCACGCGCGCUACACUGACGGAGGCAGCGAGCGUGUCCUUCGCCGGCAGGUGCGGGCAAUCUUGCGAGUCUCCGUCGUGCUGGGGAUAGAUGGUUGCAAUUGUCGAUCUUGAACGAGGAAUUCCUAGUAAGCGCGAGUCAUCAGCUCGCGCUGAUUACGUCCCUGCCCUUUGUACACACCGCCCGUCGCUACUACAGAGUGCCCGUGUCCAAGAAACGGUCGGACCUGUGCGGCCUCUCCGGGCGACCGGAGGGCCGUUACGGGGAAGACCCUUUAUUUGACGCGGGUCGAUGAGGUAAAAGUCGUAACA
rnacentral:rRNA from 1 species